rnacentral:rRNA from 1 species
UACGGAGGGGGGCUAGCGUUGUUCGGAAUUACUGGGCGUAAAGCGCACGUAGGCGGCUUUUGUAAGUUAGAGGUGAAAGCCCAGGGCUUAACCCUGGAAUUGCCUUUAAGACUGCAUCGCUAGAAUCGUGGAGAGGUGAGUGGAAUUCCGAGUGUAGAGGUGAAAUUCGUAGAUAUUCGGAAGAACACCAGUGGCGAAGGCGACUCACUGGACACGUAUUGACGCUGAGGUGCGAAAGCGUGGGGGAGCAAACAGG